rnacentral:rRNA from 1 species
ACCUGACGGAGCAAUACCGCGUGAGGGAUGACAGCCUUUGGUUGUAAACCUCUUUUAUCAAGGAGGAAGUUCUGACGUGUACUUGAUGAAUAAGCAUCGGCUAACUCCGUGCCAGCAGCCGCGGUAAGACGGAGGAUGCAAGUGUUAUCCGGAAUCACUGGGCGUAAAGCGUCUGUAGGUGGUUUAAAAAGUCUGCUGUUAAAAAUUGAAGCUUAACUUCAAAGAUGCCGUAGAAACUUUAAACUUGAGUAUGGUAGGGGUAGAGGGAAUUUCCAGUGGAGCGGUGAAAUGCGUAGAUCUUGGAAAGACCACCAAUGGCGAAGGCACUCUACUGGGCCAUUACUGACACUGAGAGACGAAAGCUAGGGGAGCAAAUGGGAUUAGAUACCCCAGUAGUCCUAGCUGUAAACGAUGGAUACCAGAUGUUGUGUGUAUUGACCCAUGCAGUGUCGUAGCUAACGCGUUAAGUAUCCCGCCUGGGAAGUAUGCUCGCAAGAGUG